rnacentral:rRNA from 1 species
AUCAGUGGCCAUAGCAAAGGGGAUCACCUGAUACCAUUCCGAACUCAGUAGUUAAGCCCUUUAGCGCCGAAGAUACCAGAGAUGGGAAAAUAGGGAGUGCUUUUU